rnacentral:misc_RNA from 1 species
GAUGAAGAACGUAGUGAAAUGCGAUAAGUAAUGUGAAUUGCAGAAUUCAGUGAAUCAUCGAAUCUUUGAACGCACAUUGCGCCCACCAGUAUUCUGGCGGGCAUGCCUGUUCGAGCGUCAUUUCAACCAUCAAGCCCCAGGCUUGUGUUGGGGACCUGCGGCUGCCGCAGGCCCUGAAAACCAGUGGCGGGCUCGCUGUCACACCGGGCGUAGUAGAUUUUAUCUCGCUCUGGGCGUGCUGCGGGUUCCGGCCGUUAAAAAACCCUUUUAACCCAAGGUUGACCUCGGAUCAGGUAGGAAUACCCGCUGAACUUAAGCAUAUCAAUAAGCGGAGGA